rnacentral:rRNA from 1 species
AUGCAGUCGCCCAUCGACCUCUCCGACCGCCAUGCCGCACAGGCGCCGAACCUCGGAUACCUCAACCACUCCUACCUCCCCGCCGAGGCCUCCAUCGUCAACCGUGGCCAUGACAUCGCGGUGACGUUCCAGGGCGGUGCCGGGAGCUUGUGGAUCAACGGCACUGCUUACCACCUCAGGCAGGUGCACUUGCACUCCCCCAGCGAGCACCACCUAAACGGCCGCCAGUACAGCUUGGAGAUCCACAUGGUUCACCUCAGCGCCGAGAACAAGGCUGCCGUGAUCGGCCGCCUCUAUAAGAUUGGUAGGCGCGACCAUUUCCGGCACAAGCUAGAGCCUUACCUGCGGAGGAUGGCAGACAUGAAGGAGAAGGAUGAGAAGGUCGGCGUGGUGGAUCCCUGGGAGGCGAGGGGCGACGACCAAGCCUACUACCGGUACAUGGGCUCCCUCACCACGCCGGCGUGCGACGAGGGGGUCAUCUGGACCGUUAUCAAGAGGUUGCCACCGUGUCAACUCACCAACUGA